rnacentral:rRNA from 1 species
ACGGAGAGUUUGAUCCUGGCUCAGGAUGAACGCUGGCGGCGUGCUUAACACAUGCAAGUCGAACGGGAAGCCGCCUUCGGGUGGCGGAGAGUGGCGCACGGGUGCGUAACACGUAGCUGACCUGCCUCGAAGUUGGGGAUAACGGCUGGAAACAGGCGCUAAUACCCGAUAAGCUCCCGGUAACUAGAGGACGGGGAGAAAAGCGCAUGCGCUUCGAGAUGGGGCUGCGGUCCAUCAGCUAGAUGGUGAGGUAACGGCUCACCAUGGCAACGACGGAUAGGGGGCCUGAGAGGGUGACCCCCCACACUGGCACUGAGACACGGGCCAGACUCCUACGGGAGGCAGCAGUGAGGAAUAUUGCGCAAUGGGCGAAAGCCUGACGCAGCGACGCCGCGUGGACGAUGAAGGCCUUCGGGUCGUAAAGUCCUUUUCUGCGUGACGAGACAAGGACGGUAGCGCAGGAAUAAGUCUCGGCUAACUACGUGCCAGCAGCCGCGGUAAAACGUAGGAGGCAAGCGUUAUCCGGAGUUACUGGGCGUAAAGAGCGUGUAGGCGGCAGUGUAAGUGGCUUGUGAAAGCGCCCGGCUAAACUGGGCGAGGACAGGUCAGACUGCACAGCUAGAGGACGAUAGAGGGGUGCGGAAUUCCGGGUGUAGCGGUGAAAUGUGUAGAGAUCCGGAGGAACACCAGUGGUGCAGACGGCGCCCUGGGUCGUACCUGACGCUGAGACGCGAAAGCGUGGGGAGCCAACGGGAUUAGAGACCCCGGUAGUCCACGCUGUAAACGAUGCAGACUGGGUGUCCAUUCGGCGACAGUCGAAGGGGUGCCGCAGCUAACGCGCUAAGUCUGCCGCCUGGGGAGUACGGUCGCAAGGCUAAACUCAAAGGAAUUGACGGGGGCCCGCACAAGCAGCGGAGCGUGUGGUUUAAUUCGAGGCUACACGAAGAACCUUACCUAGGCUUGACAUACACGUGGUAGUGAACCGAAAGGGGAACGACCUUCGGGAGCGUGUACAGGUGCUGCAUGGCUGUCGUCAGCUCGUGUCGUGAGAUGUUCGGUUAAGUCCGGCAACGAGCGCAACCCACAUUCUUAGUUGCCAGCAGUUCGGCUGGGCACUCUAAGAAAACUGCCCGUGAUAAGCGGGAGGAAGGUGUGGAUGACGUCAAGUCCUCAUGGCCCUUACGGGUUGGGCUACACACGUGCUACAAUGGUGGUGACAGUGGGUUAAUCCCCAAAAGCCAUCUCAGUUCGGAUUGGGGUCUGCAACUCGACCCCAUGAAGUCGGAAUCGCUAGUAAUCGCGUAACAGCAUGACGCGGUGAAUACGUUCCCGGGCCUUGUACACACCGCCCGUCACACCAUGGGAAUUGGGUCUACCCGACGACGGUGCGCCAACCCGCAAGGGAAGCAGCCGGCCACGGUAGGCUCAGUGACUGGGGUGAAGUCGUAACAAGGUAGCCGUAGGGGAACCUGCGGCUGGAUCACCUCCUUUCUAA